rnacentral:tRNA from 1 species
GCCCCAUUGGCUCAGCGGUAGAGCGCGUCCUUGGUAAGGACGAGAUCCCGGGUUCAAAUCUCGGAUGGGGCU